GUGGCUUUAUAUACUGUGAAUGAGGAUUUGCUACAAUUUAGUAUUGGCAAAUUUUAAUGGAGUGAAGCCUAGAAAAAAUGUUCCCCUCGCUAUCCGGUGCAACCAUCAAUGUAGCAUUUGGACGUUGGGAAACAACAUUU